AUUCUCCUUACCUCAGACCACACGAUGCCUUGAAGAAGCCUUUAGUGCAACCAUUUAGCAUCAUCGAAUAGAAAGGGGAUGAAAUAGCAUUAAACAUAAUACUACACCAUUUUUCUGAAAAACACAACCGA